UCUAUCAGAGCGCUUGAACUCGGCAGACGGAGUCACUGGAGGUCAAAGUCAACGUGCAUGGUCACGCGAUCACAGGACGAACAAGGCGCUAUAUCUCGGGAACGAAAGCAGCACAAACGCUACUUUCAACGGCACAAACCGGCACAAACGUAUCACUAACGAAUAAGAAGCUGCAGGUUUCAGACUACUUCUCCAGUUCAGCCUCUUCAUCCAGUACAGAUUUGCAGGGGAGCUGGAGCCAAUCCCAACAACCGGCACAGGGGGGUAUACCCUGCACAGGACACCAGCCCCUUGCAGGACAGACACAAUCACACUUGCAUCAUGGAUAGUUUUCCCAGAAGCCGAUUGACCAACCCGUAUGUAUUUGGACUUUGGGAGGAAACUUAAAUGCAAACACAGGGAGAACAUACAAACUCCAGGUAGAUUGCACCUCAGGUAUGGAAUUGAACCCAAGGCUCCGGCACUGCCGCCCAUUCAUUCCAGAGAAAUCCAGGUAAUGUUUAACUGUUACAGUUAAAUCUACGCAUUUGCUUAGUUACAAGACCAUGGGCUCAAUUGUAACAUGAGUCUCUAAGAGACAUUGGUCUCCACUGCUGAAGGGUGUUUAUAAUGAUACAGAAAAUAAUUUGUGUCAUAUUGCAAUGACCUCCCUCAUGCAGAAUGCAUGCAUGGGACAUCUUUGUAUGCAAUGAUGGUGAACAGGAAUUGGGUGCGGAGCUCCCCCACAAACUCAACUCAACUUACCGGUAUUUCCUCAGCCCCAUUGCUGACAAUAACCCCAUCCAAUAAUAAGGAUUAACUCCUCUUCAUUUUUGUCCUAAAAAAUAAACCAGACACUGAACUGGUGGGUUUUGAGAUUGCUUCACAGAUUUCUCAAGUCUUGGCACUUGCACAAUGCUGAGCUUCUUAUUUUAGAUCCAGUACACUGGGCUACCAGAAGGGGCCAAGACCUCAUAAAGCAGAGAUUCCAUUUUAAACUAUGUUAAAUUUCCCCCGGGGUCCCCAUGCUGGCUGGCUGCAGCUUGCUCUCAUUAGUGAUGGAUUUUGAAAGGUAACCCGUCUCCACUGCAACUACCCAGCAACCCCUGCUGUAGGACUGCUGUUCUGUACCUUACCGUUUCUAAGAAUGGGGCCACUACCAAACAUUGGCGAGGACGCAGCUACACUCCAUAGUCCCAAUAAUUACUACUACUGCCUCCCUCCAGAGUUGUUCAGAAGUUGGCAUAUCCGCUUCAAUAAAACAGCCCAGUCAGUUGUUUUGGGACUCCUAUAAUCCUUUGUUUAAAGAAGCUACAGAAUCCCGAGUUCAUUUUCAGAACUAAUUCACCAUUCUUUGUUUCAAAGUCCAAAACAGAACUUAGAUCCUAUUCACAUGGUCAACUCUUUUUAUCGUUUAAAGGUGUGUUUCAAAUUCAUCAAAAGUUUUUGUUUAGCGUUAGUUGAUCAUGUCUGGACACUUCCAUGUUUCUACAAGUUUUCUUUCUUUUUUUUCCCCCAAACAAGCCCCUUAUAUUUACAGUCUUUUCUUUACAUUUACAGAAUAAUAAACACUGCGUGUAAAAUAAAAGUACAAUAGUUUAUUAGCUGCAAGGUGUACACAGUACUUUUCCUAAACAGCAUAGUUUUUUCAGGGACUUUUCAUGCAUGAAAAACAUUGCAAUAUACAUACAAAAAUGUUUUUAUGUACAAACCCCUUUCCCCAACACACAAAAUGCCAAAUUGUCUUUACACAUUGUCAAGAAAAGUAAAAAUGGUCUACAUGCAAAAGUCCUUGAAAUAUUGCUAAUCCAUAGGACUACAUGUAUUUUAACAAAACACUAUUCACAUGAUUUUUAUCCCUAAAAGUCUGCAUAUCCCACAUAGAUCUAAAAGUAUGAACCAUGUGGUGAAAAAAAAAUGUUUCUGAUGGGACCAAGCAAAAUUCCUUUACUUCAGUUUAUCCUAUUCCUGAAAAGCAGCAUAAGAUUGCGGUUUUAAAAAAGGUAGAUUAAAGCAUCUUCAGUUUUAUUGCUUGACGUUAUAUAAUCUUGUGUUUUAUGUGAACUAAGGUUAAAUAAAUCAACCAUGGAGAGAAAUGUAUCUAUAUCUCCACCUUUGAAAUGUUCCUGCUGGGAACAGACCAGAUAACUGUGCAAACAGUACUCUCCAAACUGUUCCCAGCUUCAGUCAUUAUUCACACACAUCAUCACUGCCCUGAAAAUGGAUUAAAAUGAGUUGCUCAUGGGGUUAGCACAGUGUAACAGCCAGCUGGCACAGAACCAGUAACAUAGCACAAUACUGCCUCUCCAGUAGAGAGGGAGGCGUGUGUGUACAGUGGUAGAGUGGUGUCACAAGCUUCUACUACAGAAAGGUUGCUCAGUUGUGUUGGUGCAGCAUUAAGUUUAGACACAUGGUGCAGUUUUUGUACUCCUUACCACUUACAUCUUAGCAUUGGUCUCCUGGAAAGGGAAAAACUGAAGUUUACUUAUUUAAUUCCUUGGAAUACAAAUAUAAAAAGAAUUGUACCUGACUGGUCUAAGCUAUUUUAUAUUAUGCUCAACGAAAUAAAACAAAUUCUAUCAUGCCAAACACUACCAUUUCCUGUGUCCAGGGACUAAAACAAGACAAAGGCAGAAGGCACAACAAUAACUAACAAUCCUAGAAGAAUUAUACAUGUAAAAAUAAAAGUAAACAGAAAUUACAUUGUACAAAGAUGCACUAUUCUACAACUUGACCCAUAAUCACAAAAUACAUUUUAUUCCAGAAUCCAAUUACCUGUACCAUUUUAUAUGAAAGUUAAUAUCAAAUAUCACUGAUGCAGAACUGACAUAAUAUUUAGUCGGUUAGAGGCCUUCUGUGUCUUCACUUCAAGCUCUGCAAUAGUUUUUUAGAAAACAAUACAACAGUACGGCACCAAUAUGACAACAAUCAUCUACCACGCAGUACUGUCAGUAUCACUUUUGUAUUAAAAUACAAAACUGGGAAUUUAUAAAGGUUUAGUAUGACAUUACCUCCGAAAAGAACUGGAGAAUUGGGACCAAUAUAAUGGAAAUAAUCAAACGAACAGUUAACCAAUAUAUUUUUACCUAUUUAUAAAAGCUAGCACCUCCAAACUAAUGAGAUUUAAACAAUGAAAUGGUGCACUUUUUCAAGCUCACAGGGCACAGUGCAAGACCUUGCUCCAUGUCCUAGUGGACCUUCAGUGUUACAAACAGGUAAGCAUCAAUUUCAAGAGAUUUUCCUUAAAAACACUCCUGAAAAUUAUGACGUUCUAAAUAAAGAGGCUCCUUGCUCCUUCUUAAUUUGAAGAGCUGUGGUUAUCUCUCUUGAAAAAACUUUAAUUAACUGAAAAGACGGACAAAACUAAAGUAAUAAACACUAAUAUGUAAGUUGAAGGAUUCCUCCAGCUUUUACUAGUCCACAGCAGUCUUUCUGAAGUAUGGCAUUAAUACGUUGUUCUGUACAAUCUGGUAAACUCCAUCUCAUUUAACCUGGGGACUUGCUGCACCGGUCCAGCCCAAUGAUUUACUCCUUGCUUAACACUUUUCCAGAUUUAUACCUAGUACCCAAGCCCAGUUUAGCACUAAGACUAAAUUGCCAGACUGUUCCGUCUAUUGUACGUUUGUUAAAAUUUUAAAAGACUCUGACACCCCCCUCCCUCUUACCCCACAUUUACACAAACACAAACCCUCAAACUCCAUUAAUAUCACCCACUAAAGGUCACUGAGAUUUUUUAUCAAUAUGCUACACAAUAUCAAAUGGUUUGUUAACUGCUUUGGAAAACCAGCAUCGCAAUGCAUAAAAAAUCCCUCUAAUGUGCUCUGGCUGUAGCUUAAGAGUCACAACUAGCUGUCACAAUUCUGCAUAUCUCUAUGGCUAUGUACACUGAUCUCCCCCACAUUCAGCAUCCAUGAAACACAGUUUACAGAUAUGGAACAUUACAACAUCACAAUCCCUCACAGUAACACCAAGGCCUUAGCCAGUGUGGAUAAAUGCUGAAAUUGCAAAGGUACCCAAGUGCUUAUUGCAUCAGUUCUAUACAAAAAAAGAGUUGCUCUUCCAGAGCAGUUAACAAAGUGCCCAUAUAAGAGCAGUGCCGAACAAAAGACAACUUAAAGCAAUGCUUUUCAAUCUGAAGAAUAAAGACCGACCUGAAAUUGAGAAAAGUUUGUGCUCAACAUGAAGCAUUGCCCCCCUGAUUACCAAGUCUCAGUUGCUGGGAGGGAGGGGGUUGCGCCGUCUGUUUUCACAGGAGCCAUGGUAGGCAUCAGGCUACUUUUUAGGGAGGAUGGAAGGCAGACAGAUUGAGAAGCACUGGUUUAAGAAUCAGGAUCCUGCACCCUGGCUGGCAGCUCCC